AGGCGGUCCGCGAGUUCCACUAGUAGGAAGAGCAGAGAGAGCAGUGCAAGCUCGGAGGGAGCAUGGGGGGCACCCGGGGGCCCCGCAGGACAUGAGGUCGCCCUGGGGCUGUCCGGGGCAUGGCUCCUGGGGAAGACGCUGACAUGAAGCCCCCCGAGUUGUCCGAGGGGCCCCGGAACGGCUAUGUGAAGAGCUGCGUGACCCCCCUGAAGCCGGACCCCCCGCGAGGCACCCUGCGCACGCUGUGUCGGCUCCGCACCCCUGCCGGUUGCGCUGUGGGGGCUGCGGUCCUUGCCGUGCUGGGGAGCGGAGCGGGGUGGGCGCUGCUCAGGACCCCCCACUCCUUCUUGCUGGGCUUCUCCCACGCCCUGAGCCCCCUCUUCAGCUUGGGAUGUGCUUUUUUCUUCCUGACCUGCUACCUAGCCCGCUCUCACAGGGGACCCGGUGGGCUGUGGCCCCUGGCCCUGCCCCUGUGCUGCUACUCUGGGGAUCUGCUAGGGGCCCAGUUCCUGCCCCACGUGGUGGCCCGGCUCCUGGCUGUGCUGGGCUGUGUGGGACUCCUCACCCUCUACCAAGCUCUGCGGCUCAGACACAGUGUGCUGGUCCUGGGCUUCUCAAGCCUGGUCUGGCUACUGGCCAUCACUAGCCUCAGCCCCCUGCCACAAGCCCUCAGAGCCCUUGGAGCGUGCCUAGUGGGACUGCUGGGCUCCUUGCUGGCCCUGGGCUUCACACACUUCUUUCAGAUAAGGGAGGCCCACCCUAGGACCACCAUGGUGGAGGACAAGGUGCCUGUGAUCAGACCCAGGAGGAGGUCCAGCUGUGUGUCCCUGGGGGAGAGCUCGUCAACUUACUAUGGCAGCGGCAAAAUGUGCAGGAGACCUUCCCUGCCCUGUAUCUCAAGGGAGCAG